rnacentral:piRNA from 1 species
AGGGGGACCCACUCAUUUACAAAGACU